UUCAAAUAAAACACAUAAAUCUUAUCCUCUUCUUCUUCUUCCCCACAAAAAGAUAACCGGCGAACAUCCUAACCCUUCCUUGUCCUCUGCCCUGCUGUUGCUAAGCCUUCCGCCCCAUCCACGACCGCUCCAACUAUAGACAAUUAUUUUGAUUCUCCUUUCAAUUUUAAGAAAAAAAAAAAUGGAAAUGUAUGAGCUUGUCAUUGCCGGUUUUGAUUUCGACUCCAAUCAUCAAGAAAAAAGCUUGGAAACGUUCGGUUGGACUACAAAUAGGCAGAUAUUCUGACAUCAAUUUCGUAUUUGGAACAAACAAUCCAAUGGUGUUGUAUUCGGUCGAUCUAGCCCAGUCAGUUGUCCAACUAAUAGCCAAGAAAAUGAGAGCAAGCACAAUUCUGUACCUGGUUUUGUUGCAACUGAAGGAUAGAGCUAGCAAGGCCACUACCAAUAGAACCGGAAAUGGAGCACAACCAGUUUGGGGAUGAAGACGAUAGAGCUCAACUGUGAUUGGGGUUAGGAGGUUGAGAGAAGGGUAUAUCAUGUACUUUACAUUUUAUGAGGUAUUUUGGUAUUUAAUAAAAAAUAAAUUAGUUGAUAUCAGCACUUAAGGUAUAUUCCCUAAUAGAGACUGACGGUAAGGGGCUCGAGCAUAAUUGUCAGUUAUGCAAAUGGUCAUUUUGUUAAUAGUGGUAUUCUCAAGAGUGCAUAUACUUCUGCUAACUUCUUCUUGAC